rnacentral:lncRNA from 1 species
CCUGUUCCCGGGAAUGGCAGGGGCGCCCGCGCGAGGAGGGUCGCCGGGAGAGCCGCCUCUCCUCCAAGCUGGAGCAGCCGUGACCCAGAUUGCGACCGCGGCGGCCUCGCCCUGCCUAAUCCCCCCCUCUUCUUCCUCCAGGGGCACCCUUUGGAGAAGAACCCCAGCCUGGGGUGGGGACGCACCGGCUCUCCGACAGCUCAAACACAGACAGAUCUUCUAGAGCCGAGGGAAUUUCUUUUCGCAGAAGCCAUUACUCCCCCCGAGAGAAGGCUGCAAAGCUGGGAAGCCCAGGGUGUGCUCCUCCCGCCCUUUUGGACCCCCGGGCUUGCACCGGCUGCACUCUGAGAACCAGCUGCGCGCGGAGCGGUGCAAUGCAGCACCCACCCUGCGAGCCUGGCAAUUGCUUGUCAUUAAAAGAAAAAAAAAUUACGGAGGGCUCCGGGGGUGUGUGUUGGGGAGGGGAGACCGAUGCUUCUAACCCAGCCCCCGCUUU